UCAGGACGAACGCUGGCGGCGUGCUUAAUACAUGCAAGUCGAGCGAAGAUAUGGGAGCUUGUUCCCAGUUCUUAGCGGCGGACGGGUGAGUAACACGUGGGCAACCUGCCCUGCAGACUGGGAUAAUUCCGGGAAACCGGAGCUAAUACCGGGUAANACUUCGCACCGCAUGGUGCAAUGUUGAAAGUUGGCUUUCGAGCUAACACUGCAGGAUGGGCCCGCGGCGCAUUAGCUAGUUGGUAAGGUAAUGGCUUACCAAGGCGACGAUGCGUAGCCGACCUGAGAGGGUGAUCGGCCACACUGGGACUGAGACAC
rnacentral:rRNA from 2 species